rnacentral:rRNA from 1 species
UACGGGGGGUGCAAGCGUUGUUCGGAAUGACUGGGCGUAAAGGGCUCGUAGGCGGCCAACUAAGUCAGACGUGAAAUCCCUCAGCUUAACUGGGGAACUGCGUCUGAUACUGGAUGGCUUGAGUUUGGGAGAGGGAUGCGGAAUUCCAGGUGUAGCGGUGAAAUGCGUAGAUAUCUGGAGGAACACCGGUGGCGAAGGCGGCAUCCUGGACCAACACUGACACUGAUGAGCGAAAGCCAGGGGAGCAAACGGG